UAGUUAUUAGUCGGUGAUAUUUUCUUUCUUUUUCUGAACAGGUCCCGAAUCAGCAAGGUAGAACUCUUCAGAUCAUUCCAGAAGCUGCUGAGCAGCAUUGCAGAAGACAAGCAGCCAGACUCUGUCAGGGUGCAGAAGCUGGACACCUACCAGGAGUACAAGGAGGCUGCGUCUGCCUACCAGGAAGCCUGGAGCGCACUCCGAAGGAAACCACCAUUUGCAUCCUGGAUCAGAAACCCACCCUACUACCACCAAUUUAAAUGAACUCUUGCUGCUACCAGGAUCCUUCAUAUUGAUCUGCCUUUUCUCAGAAUGCUGCAUGUCUUCAGUGUCAUAUAAUGGAACCCAGAACCUCAUCAAUCUGUACUUGAUUGGAAUUGCUAGCUCCUUGCUAAAAUGGUCUCUCAAUGAUGACCUUGGUAUUUGCCUUGAGUUAUGUUUUAUUGGUUUUCUAAAAUACAACAUCAGGUAUGAUGCUUUUUAAAGCAAUCUGCAGCAGCUCUGAUUAGGCAAGUGUACAUUGGAUGGAAAUUGUAUUAGAGUGUCUAGAUACUUCGGAGCUCCUGGAGUAGUGAACAUGUAUUUCAUAUUUCCAGCCUGCCUUUGGGAACCACCAUUUCCCAGUUCUCUACAAUCAGAUGUGGUUGAAGUCAACUUCACUCUCAGGCUCAGCACAGGACUAGCCUCGGGAAGCUCUGUUCUCAGACCUGCCAAGAAAGGUUGGUUUGUUGUUUGAGACAGAGUCUCACUUUGUAGCCUGUGUUAUCCUUGACUUUCAGUCCUGCAUCAGCCUUCCAAGUGCCAAGAUGAUAGGCAUAAGCCACCAUCAUAACUAGCCCAAAAUAUUCUCAUUCUUUCCCUCCCUCUCUCCCUCUCCUUCCUACCUCUCUUCUUGAGACAGGAUCCUUGAACUCACUAUGCAGCUAAGGAUGACCUUGAACUCUGACUUCCUGCCUCUGCCUCCAAGUGUAACACCAUACUUUGCUUCCAGGAAUCUCUUCUGAUCAGGGUUAUAGGGUCAUUAUAAUCUUGAACUGCCAGUAGUUGCCAUCUUUUCCUACCACAUAGAGACAGCCAGCUGAGAAUGAAGGCAACCAUUGCUGUUUGACCAAGUUCCAGCAUUUCAACAUUGCAGACCACACUUCUCCAGCACCUUAUUACUUUCAUGUUUAAUGAUUCUCAAUAUCAAUGCCUUUCCCUUUGGGAAAUUUUGUUCGGUCUUUGGUAAAGAAUAAAAAUGUGUACAAUGGUA